AAGACUUCUCUCUAGCUAGCCAAGAGAUGAAGCGUCUUUCCAAUUACCAAGCUCGGCAUUUAGACACUGAGUUCUUCAUUAAUAUUUCCAAGAUCAUUACCAACGUUGGUAUCAUCAACUUCAGUCAACAAGUUCCCAAGAGGAUUCGCAUGCUCCCUGUCACUGUCAUUAACAACAAUUACCCUUCUUGAAUCAUUCUUUCUAUUUCCUUUUUCAAAUCCCGACAAUUCUCCAUAUUGUGCCCCAGAGCAUUGGAGUGGUAUUCACACCUUUUAUAUGAGUCAAAGCUUCUUGCACGUCGGUCCACCUAAUUUGGAGGAAUGGGUGCAAUCUUGUCAUAUUGUUUUAACUUCUUAAAUAAGCUUGCAUAGGACUCUCCUAUUGGUGUAAAACUAUCUUUCAGCUUUUGUUCCCU
rnacentral:lncRNA from 1 species